AUCUGGGCGGCGGAAUUCAGGAUGGCUGGCGGGCUUCGCGCUUGUCCGGUCGUUUGAUAUUUCCGUCGCCGUGUCGGACGUCGCGACCUGUUCGUCGUCGGUCCCUGCUCGGAGGAAUCGCGAUCGAGUUCGUUGCGCGGUGCGUUUCGGCGUGCCGUGCGGCGAAGACGUGGCUCUCUGGCUGACGGCGGACAGUAAGCAACGGUGUCCGGCGUCGUGUCUCGCACUCGAUGCCGGUGCCGGUCUGCGACGAUUUCUUCGGGCCUCUUUCCGACCCGUCUUGAAACACGGACCAAGGAGUCUAACAUGCGCGCGAGUCGCGGGGUUUCGAGCGUACCACGGUGCGCUCGUUACUUGCGAAACCCGUACGUUGAAGGCGUAAUGAAAGUGAACAGGGAAGAUGGCGUUCCGAGUCCACGUACCGUGAUCGAGUGUCGCGGCCGGACGUCCGCACUCCCGGGGCGUCUCAAUGGCUCGUCGCGGACGCGGACGGUCGUCUCUCGGGGCGAUCGUCGGUCUGCGUCGGACCGA
rnacentral:rRNA from 1 species